UACAGAGGUCCCAAGCGUUGUUCGGAUUCAUUGGGCGUAAAGGGCGCGUAGGCGGGAUGGCAAGUCGGUCGUGAAAUCCUUCGGCUCAACCGAAGAACGUCGGCCGAUACUGCCGUUCUUGAGGGAUGCAGAGGAGAUUGGAAUUCCCGGUGUAGCGGUGAAAUGUGUAGAGAUCGGGAGGAACACCGGUGGCGAAGGCGGGUCUCUGGGCCGAUACUGACGCUGAGGUGCGAAAGCGUGGGGAGCAAACAGG
rnacentral:rRNA from 1 species